rnacentral:misc_RNA from 1 species
AAGUCGUAACAAGGUUUCCGUAGGUGAACCUGCGGAAGGAUCAUUACCAGUAGUCGGUCCGCGGCCUCGGCCCGGUCCACUCACCCUUUGCGUACCGGACAAGUGUUGCUUUGGCGGGCCUCGCGGCUCGCCAGAGACCUCCUACUCUUCUGUAUGAUACCGUCUGAGUAACUCAUGACAAUUGAAUAAAACUUUCAACAACGGAUCUCUUGGUUCCA